rnacentral:rRNA from 1 species
UACACUCCUGCGGGAGGCAGCAGUGGGGAAUAUUGGACAAUGGGCGCAAGCCUGAUCCAGCCAUGCCGCGUGAGUGAUGAAGGCCCUAGGGUUGUAAAGCUCUUUCACCGGUGAAGAUAAUGACGGUAACCGGAGAAGAAGCCCCGGCUAACUUCGUGCCAGCAGCCGCGGUAAUACGAAGGGGGCUAGCGUUGUUCGGAUUUACUGGGCGUAAAGCGCACGUAGGCGGACUAUUAAGUCAGGGGUGAAAUCCCGGGGCUCAACCCCGGAACUGCCUUUGAUACUGGGAGUCUCGAGUUCGAUAGAGGUGAGUGGAAUUCCGAGUGUAGAGGUGAAAUUCGUAGAUAUUCGGAGGAACACCAGUGGCGAAGGCGGCUCACUGGCUCGAUACUGACGCUGAGGUGCGAAAGCGUGGGGAGCAAACAGGAUUAGAUACCCGAGUAGUCCCAUGAU